AUUGAACGCUGGCGGCAGGCCUAACACAUGCCAGUCGAGCGGAUGAAGGGAGCUUGCUCCUGGAUUCAGCGGCGGACGGGUGAGUAAUGCCUAGGAAUCUGCCUGGUAGUGGGGGAUAACGUCCGGAAACGGGCGCUAAUACCGCAUACGUCCUGAGGGAGAAAGUGGGGGAUCUUCGGACCUCACGCUAUCAGAUGAGCCUAGGUCGGAUUAGCUAGUUGGUGGGGUAAAGGCCUACCAAGGCGACGAUCCGUAACUGGUCUGAGAGGAUGAUCAGUCACACUGGAACUGAGACACGGUCCAGACUCCUACGGGAGGCAGCAGUGGGGAAUAUUGGACAAUGGGCGAAAGCCUGAUCCAGCCAUGCCGCGUGUGUGAAGAAGGUCUUCGGAUUGUAAAGCACUUUAAGUUGGGAGGAAGGGCAGUAAGUUAAUACCUUACUGUUUUGACGUUACCAACAGAAUAAGCACCGGCUAACUUCGUG
rnacentral:rRNA from 1 species